GAUGAACGCUGGCGGCGUGCCUAAUACAUGCAAGUCGAGCGAACAGACGAGGAGCUUGCUCCUCUGACGUUAGCGGCGGACGGGUGAGUAACACGUGGAUAACCUACCUAUAAGACUGGGAUAACUUCGGGAAACCGGAGCUAAUACCGGAUAAUAUAUUGAACCGCAUGGUUCAAUAGUUAAAGACGGUUUUGCUGUCACUUAUAGAUGGAUCCGCGCCGCAUUAGCUAGUUGGUAAGGUAACGGCUUACCAAGGCAACGAUGCGUAGCCGACCUGAGAGGGUGAUCGGCCACACUGGAACUGAGACACGGUCCAGACUCCUACGGGAGGCAGCAGUAGGGAAUCUUCCGCAAUGGGCGAAAGCCUGACGGAGCAACGCCGCGUGAGUGAUGAAGGUCUUCGGAUCGUAAAACUCUGUUAUGAGGGAAGAACAAAUGUGUAAGUAACUAUGCACGUCUUGACGGUACCUAAUCAGAAAGCCACGGCUAACUACGUG
rnacentral:rRNA from 1 species